rnacentral:rRNA from 1 species
AACGAACGCUGGCGGCAUGCCUAACACAUGCAAGUCGAACGAGACCUUCGGGGCUAGUGGCGCACGGGUGCGUAACGUGUGGGAACCUGCCCUUAGGUUCGGAAUAACUCCCCGAAAGGGGUGCUAAUAACGGAUAGUGUCUUCGGACCAAAGAUUUAUAGCCUUUGGAUGGGCCCGCGUUGGAUUAGCUAGUUGGUAGGGUAAAAGCCCACCAAGGCAACGAUCAGUAGCUGGUCUGAGGGGAUGGUCAGCCACAGUGGGACUGAGACACGGCCCAGACUCGUAGGGGAGGGAGGAGUGAGGAAUAGUGGGAGAUGGGCGAGAGCAUGAAACAGGCAAGUAGCGUGCAGGAAGACGGACAUAUGGGGUGUAAACGGAUUUUAUGAGGGAAGAAAGCGGGUCAAGUGGGACUUUGGGAAUGGACCUUAUGAAUAAGGACCGGCUAAUGCCGUG